rnacentral:rRNA from 1 species
CCUACGGGUGGCAGCAGUGGGGAAUAUUGCACAAUGGGGGAAACCCUGAUGCAGCGACGCCGCGUGAAGGAAGAAGUAUUUCGGUAUGUAAACUUCUAUCAGCAGGGGAGAAAAUGACGGUACCUGACUAAGAAGCUCCGGCUAACUUCGUGCCAGCAGCCGCGGUGAUACGGAGGAGGCAAGCGUUAUCCGGAUUUACUGGGUGUAAAGGGAGCGUAGGCGGCGUUGCAAGUCAGAAGUGAAAGCCCGGGGCUCAACUCCAGGAUUGCUGUUGAAACUGUGAUGCUAGAUUGCAGGAGAGGUAGGUGGAAUGCGUGGUGUAGCGGUGAAAUGCGUAGAUAUUAGGAGGAACCCCAGUGGCGAAGGCGGCUUACUAGGCUAUGAAUGACGCUGAGGCACGAAAGCGUGGGGAGCAAACAGGAUUAGAUACCCGAGUAGUC